rnacentral:pre_miRNA from 1 species
AAAGAGAUACCCAUAGAUUAUAUUGCAAUUUUAGUAUUCCGGCAAUGCAAUAUAAUCUAUGGGUAUCUCUUUU